CUUGGUGUCAUGAAGACCACUGGUCUUCACGUCCGCUCCCACCCUACAGGCCGCCAGGGAGACCAGUGCCGCCCACCAUGCGAUUUCGACGCUUGACCCCUGGUUACUUCCGGGUGUUACAGAUGCAGGUAGCUGGUGAGCUGAAGGCAGAGCCCCGGAGUCUGCUGGCAGGAGUUGUGGCUACAGUGCUAGCUGUCCUCGGCCUGGGUGGCUCCUGCUAUGCCGUCUGGAAGAUGGUGGGGCAGCGGCGGGUGCCACGGGCCCCGUAACGAAGAAGAGAGACUCUCACUUGGAUGCUGGGGGGCUCGACGCUCAGCUGCUUCAGCCUGGGAGAAAGAAAAACAGGAGUUGGGAGCUGACCAGGUGAGAGCCCUAUCUGCUGAGCACCCAUCCAUCAAUCCUCUCCUUACUCCUUCAUACCUUUUCUUGUGGUCUUUGGAUCGGAAGUGGGUCUUCAGGUUGGUGGAAUCGAUGAAGUACCUCCUGUAGGAAUGGAAGUGAGAAGGAGAGUGAGGAGGUGAUAGUCUCCCAAGUGCACCUAUCUCCCUAGCCCUAGCUUGUCCCUGACGCCAGGAUCCGGGUCUGAGAAACGGGAGGCGGGCGGACCCACGGGUCCCAAGAGAGAAGACUCUGCGCUGCCUGGGGCUUCAACUUCACAUCUCCCGGCCGGUACCGCGGACCCUCCUCCGCCCCAGGCCGGGCUCGUCCGGGACUCACGCGC
rnacentral:lncRNA from 1 species